rnacentral:rRNA from 1 species
GAUGAACGCUGGCGGCGUGCCUAAUACAUGCAAGUCGAGCGAACAGAUGAGGAGCUUGCUCCUCUGACGUUAGCGGCGGACGGGUGAGUAACACGUGGAUAACCUACCUAUAAGACUGGGAUAACUUCGGGAAACCGGAGCUAAUACCGGAUAAUAUAUUGAACCGCAUGGUUCAAUAGUGAAAGACGGUUUUGCUGUCACUUAUAGAUGGAUCCGCGCCGCAUUAGCUAGUUGGUAAGGUAACGGCUUACCAAGGCAACGAUGCGUAGCCGACCGGAGAGGUGGCUCGCCCCACCUGAACCUGAGACACGACCCCGCCCCUGAGGGGAGGCACAGUAGGGGAACCUCCGCAAAUGGGGGAAAGCUUGCCGAACAACGGCGGGGGGGUUGUGGAGGGUCUCCGAUCCGAAAAACUCGUUUAUAGGGAAAAACAAAUUGUUAAAGUAACAAUGACCGCUUGACGGUACCUUAACAAAAAGCCCCGGCUAACUACGUG